GAGACUGGAAUGAUUAGAUAGAACUAGUCAAGGGAGUUUAAUUUUUUGGGGUUUCAUUGUGUAUACAAAGUUCAAUUGCCUCUUUUUCUGUGUUUGUUUACUCGAGUGUCUUUCGGUCUCAGACCUCAAUUGUGGGAUUAGACUGAGUUUUUUGUUAUUGUUGUUGAUUGUGCAUACAAAGUUUUAUCUCAGCAUCAAUGCUAUUUCCCUUUCAAUUGUUAGUUCAAAAAGGCACAUGGUUUGUUUUGGGUGUUUUGAAGGCUGUAAAGUGUAUGUGAUGG
rnacentral:lncRNA from 1 species